GGGUUGUGAGGUUAAGCGACUAAGCGUACACGGUGGAUGCCCUGGCAGUCAGAGGCGAUGAAGGGCGUGCUAAUCUGCGAUAAGCGCCGGUAAGGUGAUAUGAACCGUUAUAACCGGCGAUACCCGAAUGGGGAAACCCAGUGUGACUCGUCACACUAUCAUUAACUGAAUCCAUAGGUUAAUGAGGCGAACCGGGGGAACUGAAACAUCUAAGUACCCCGAGGAAAAGAAAUCAACCGAGAUUCCCCAGUAGCGGCGAGCGAACGGGGAGGAGCCCAGAGCCUGAAUCAGCAUGUGUGUUAGUGGAAGCGUCUGGAAAGGCGCGCGAUACAGGGUGACAGCCCCGUACACAAAAGCGCAUGUGCUGUGAGCUCGAUGAGUAGGGCGGGACACGUGGUAUCCUGUCUGAAUAUGGGGGGACCAUCCUCCAAGGCUAAAUACUCCUGACUGACCGAUAGUGAACCAGUACCGUGAGGGAAAGGCGAAAAGAACCCCGGCGAGGGGAGUGAAAAAGAACCUGAAACCGUGUACGUACAAGCAGUGGGAGCCCCACCACCAAAGCAUUUGCUGUACCGCGUUGACGGAGCGAAGCGACGUCAAACCGAUAAAACAGCAGUGUAAAGUGAGCCGCAGGGCGCUUUGCGCGACAGCGCAAAGGCAGGCGGUUUCGCGUAGCGAAAGCGAAUGCUUUGGGGUGGGGUGACUGCGUACCUUUUGUAUAAUGGGUCAGCGACUUAUAUUCUGUAGCAAGGUUAACCGAAUAGGGGAGCCGGAGGGAAACCGAGUCUUAAUUGGGCGUUAAGUUGCAGGGUAUAGACCCGAAACCCGGUGAUCUAGCCAUGGGCAGGUUGAAGGUUGGGUAACACUAACUGGAGGACCGAACCGACUAAUGUUGAAAAAUUAGCGGAUGACCUGUGGCUGGGGGUGAAAGGCCAAUCAAACCGGGAGAUAGCUGGUUCUCCCCGAAAGCUAUUUAGGUAGCGCCUCGUGAAUUCAUCUCCGGGGGUAGAGCACUGUUUCGGCUAGGGGGCCAUCCCGGCUUACCAACCCGAUGCAAACUGCGAAUACCGGAGAAUGUUAUCACGGGAGACACACGGCGGGUGCUAACGUCCGUCGUGAAGAGGGAAACAACCCAGACCGCCAGCUAAGGUCCCAAAGUCAUGGUUAAGUGGGAAACGAUGUGGGAAGGCCCAGACAGCCAGGAUGUUGGCUUAGAAGCAGCCAUCAUUUAAAGAAAGCGUAAUAGCUCACUGGUCGAGUCGGCCUGCGCGGAAGAUGUAACGGGGCUAAACCAUGCACCGAAGCUGCGGCAGCGACACUGUGUGUUGUUGGGUAGGGGAGCGUUCUGUAAGCCUGUGAAGGUGUGUCGUGAGGCAUGCUGGAGGUAUCAGAAGUGCGAAUGCUGACAUAAGUAACGAUAAAGCGGGUGAAAAGCCCGCUCGCCGGAAGACCAAGGGUUCCUGUCCAACGUUAAUCGGGGCAGGGAGAGUCGACCCCUAAGGCGAGGCCGAAAGGCGUAGUCGAUGGGAAACGGGUUAAUAUUCCCGUACUUGGUGUUACUGCGAAGGGGGGACGGAGAAGGCUAUGUUGGCCGGGCGACGGUUGUCCCGGUUUAAGCGUGUAGGUGUGUGUUCCAGGUAAAUCCGGUUCACUUUAACACUGAGGCGUGACGACGAGGCACUACGGUGCUGAAGCAACAAAUGCCCUGCUUCCAGGAAAAGCCUCUAAGCAUCAGGUAACAUCAAAUCGUACCCCAAACCGACACAGGUGGUCAGGUAGAGAAUACCAAGGCGCUUGAGAGAACUCGGGUGAAGGAACUAGGCAAAAUGGUGCCGUAACUUCGGGAGAAGGCACGCUGACACGUAGGUGAAGUGAUUUACUCAUGGAGCUGAAGUCAGUCGAAGAUACCAGCUGGCUGCAACUGUUUAUUAAAAACACAGCACUGUGCAAACACGAAAGUGGACGUAUACGGUGUGACGCCUGCCCGGUGCCGGAAGGUUAAUUGAUGGGGUCAGCGCAAGCGAAGCUCCUGAUCGAAGCCCCGGUAAACGGCGGCCGUAACUAUAACGGUCCUAAGGUAGCGAAAUUCCUUGUCGGGUAAGUUCCGACCUGCACGAAUGGCGUAAUGAUGGCCAGGCUGUCUCCACCCGAGACUCAGUGAAAUUGAACUCGCUGUGAAGAUGCAGUGUACCCGCGGCAAGACGGAAAGACCCCGUGAACCUUUACUAUAGCUUGACACUGAACAUUGAGCCUUGAUGUGUAGGAUAGGUGGGAGGCUUUGAAGUGUGGACGCCAGUCUGCAUGGAGCCGACCUUGAAAUACCACCCUUUAAUGUUUGAUGUUCUAACGUGGACCCGUUACCCGGGUUGCGGACAGUGUCUGGUGGGUAGUUUGACUGGGGCGGUCUCCUCCUAAAGAGUAACGGAGGAGCACGAAGGUUGGCUAAUCCUGGUCGGACAUCAGGAGGUUAGUGCAAUGGCAUAAGCCAGCUUGACUGCGAGCGUGACGGCGCGAGCAGGUGCGAAAGCAGGUCAUAGUGAUCCGGUGGUUCUGAAUGGAAGGGCCAUCGCUCAACGGAUAAAAGGUACUCCGGGGAUAACAGGCUGAUACCGCCCAAGAGUUCAUAUCGACGGCGGUGUUUGGCACCUCGAUGUCGGCUCAUCACAUCCUGGGGCUGAAGUAGGUCCCAAGGGUAUGGCUGUUCGCCAUUUAAAGUGGUACGCGAGCUGGGUUUAGAACGUCGUGAGACAGUUCGGUCCCUAUCUGCCGUGGGCGCUGGAGAACUGAGGGGGGCUGCUCCUAGUACGAGAGGACCGGAGUGGACGCAUCACUGGUGUUCGGGUUGUCAUGCCAAUGGCACUGCCCGGUAGCUAAAUGCGGAAGAGAUAAGUGCUGAAAGCAUCUAAGCACGAAACUUGCCCCGAGAUGAGUUCUCCCUGAGACUUAGAGUCUCCUGAAGGAACGUUGAAGACGACGACGUUGAUAGGCCGGGUGUGUAAGCGCAGCGAUGCGUUGAGCUAACCGGUACUAAUGAACCGUGAGGCUUAACCUUACAACGCCGAAG
rnacentral:rRNA from 1 species